ACACCUCAACUCUCAUGGUUUGCCAUGACGAGCUUGGACUUUGGGGGUCUUGCUGGCCUGUUGGUCGGCUCCUCUCAAAUGAAUCAGCUUGCCAGUGUUUGGUGGCAUCACAGGUGUGAUAACUAUCUACGCUUGUCGCUGUCCGCCAGGUAACCUUCAGCGAUGGAGGUUCGCUGGAGCUCAUAGACGUCUCUCCUCAGCGAGGACAGCUUUUGAAC
rnacentral:misc_RNA from 1 species